rnacentral:lncRNA from 1 species
UCGAAUGAGACCCAAGCUAUUAAUCCAGGAGAUGACAAGGACGCAUGUCCAGCAGGACCUAGCAAAAAAAUAGCAGCAGAUCAGAAUUUCAAAAGCGAAAAUACUCACCAUAUACAAAAAAAAUCAACAGAGGCAAAAAAGUUCCAUUCCUAUCAUUAGAGGAAAGUAUACAGCAAUAAGUAUGAAAAUAACACCUGCCGCUAAGCAAAUCAAGCAGUUCAUUCAAAAGACCAAGAUCAUCCAAAGCAUCCCCAUAAAUCAGGAGAAAAAUAAAGUUAUAGAAGCACACCAAAGCAGCCAUGAAACUUCCCAAAAGAAUCAGAAAGGCAAGGAAAAAAUACAUGAUGAAUAUUGGAGGCAAUUUUAUUACCUAAACAAGGAGAUUGCUAAAGCUGAGUAUGUGCAACCAACUCUUCUAAUGGGCUCUUUAGAUCAUACAACUAAAGCGCUCAUCACUAGUAUCAUGGGAGGUGGGUAUAAUAAUGAGAUCAGUAAGGAAGAAGGGAACAAACCUCCAAACCCAAGCGAAUCCAACUCCAAACCAAAGAAGGACAAAAACAUGAAAGAACUUGAUCUCCAAAAGAGAGAAGUUGCUUACCAAAAUGUAGAGAUGGACGCUCAAGCCGUCAACAGCAAGCCAAAUGAGGCUCAGUGAAUCCUUUUCUUUAAGGGAGUUUUUUCGAAACUGUUUUCAUCAUAAUUUUUCUCAUGAAUAUUUUAAUUUGGAAUUGUAGAGGGGUAUCUGCUAAAGGAUUCCCCAUUAUUAUUAAAGAUUUAACCUAUCGAUAUAAUUUGAAUUUGUGUGUGCUCCUUAAACUCAUGUUUCAGGAUCUAAAGCUGAGGUGAUUAUCCACAAGUUAGGUUUUGAUUCUUGGUGUAGAAGCGAAGCUGAAGGUUUUGCGGGAGGCAUUUGGUGCCUUUGGAACAAAAAAGAGUGGAAUAUCGAACCUCUAGAAGUCCAUAAGCAAUUUAUCCAUAUGAAUAUCAAAGACAACGAAAAUCGAAACUGGUACUGCACUCGUGUCUACGGCAGCCCACAACCUGGGACCCGGAGUAGCCUCCGGGAGGAGUUAGAAAAUUUCGCAGGGACUAUCCAAGGACCUUGGUGCGUUGGCGGGAAUUUUAAUUCUAUCAUUUCCCUUGAAGAAACAGGGGGCAGUUUCAAUCUUUCUCAAGACUCAAGAAGAUUCCAAGAUUGUAUUCAGAAUUGUGGCCUAAAGGACCUAGGCUUUUCAGGACCCCCCUUUACCUGGCAAAGGAAUAGAGUCAAACGAAGACUAGACCGAUUUCUUUGCAAUUUGGGUUUCAAUGAUCUCUUCCCAUCAGCCGGAGUUAAACAUCUCCCUAAGUUGAAGUCUGACCAUAUCCCCAUCCUUUUAGACUUCAAUAACUUAGAAAUGAGAAGAAGAGAUAAACCUUUCAGGCUUCUUACGCCUUGGCUCCUUCAUGAAGACUACCAAAGAUUAGUAAAAAACAGUUGGAUCAAGCAGGGAGAUCUUGUCUCUAAUAUUAAUAAUUUUGCAAAUAAAGCUAAGGUUUGGAAUAAAGAGGUUUUCGGUCACAUCUUUAGAAAGAAGCAAAGAAUCCUCCUCAGACUUGAUGGAAUCAAUCAAAGUCUCUCUUUUAACAAUAACCCUUUUCUAGAGAAACUCCAUAACGACCUUUGGAGGGAAUACGAAAGGAUUGUUGUUCAAGAAGAAAGCUAUUGGAUGCAGAUGUCUAGGUGCAAUAUCAUCAAUUUUGGAGACAAGAACUCUAAAUAAUUUCAUCAAAAAGCAAAUGGGAGAAGAAGAAGGAACUAUGUCACUUCGCUCAAGAACAAUGAAGGAGAAUGGAUUGAUGAUGAGGAAGAACUCAAACACAUGGGUGUAUCCUUUUUUAAAUCUUUAUAUGCCCCUGAUAAUUAUUCUUUGGUGUUUCCUAACUUUCCUAUUGCAGGUAAAUUUCCUAGAGUGGCAGAAGAUAACCUUGUCCACCUAAACAAGAACAUCACUUUCGAGGAAGUCAAGCAUGCAGUUUUCAAUAUGGGUAGCUGGAAGGCUCCUGGGAGUGAUGGACUCCUAGCAAAGUUCUUUCAGCAUUCCUGGGAUACUGUGGCAGAUUCCCUAGUAAGUUGGGUUCAAAUGAUUUUUAGGAACCUAGAAAACAUUGCUAGAGUGAACCAAAUUCUUAUCUCUAUCAUUUCUAAAGUUCCUUCACCUAAGAACUUUGCCCAAUUCAGACCGUUCAGCCUAUGUAACAUUUGCUAUAAGAUCAUUACCAAGGUGAUAGCUGAAAGGAUUAAGCCGAUCCUAGGGGCUAUCGUGUCUAAUACUUAAGCAAGCUUCAUCCCAGGAAGGGUCAGUGCAGACAAUAUCUUAGUCGUGCAAGAGGUAAUACAUACGAUGAGGACCAGAAAUGGAGGAAAAGGUCUUAUGGCGAUUAAGAUAGACUUGGAGAAGGCGUAUGAUCGACUCAAUUGGGGUUUCGUCAUUGAGACUCUUAAAGACAUUGGCAUCCCGGAUAAAAUUGUAAAUGUUAUUUAUCAUUGCAUCUCCUCUCCAACUAUGAAUUUGCUUUGGAAUGGGUCUCAUUCAGAAACUUUCAUCCCAACCAGAGGCAUAAGACAGGGAGAUCCCUUAUCCCCUUACCUUUUUGUCUUGUGUAUUGAAAGACUUUCCCAUUUAAUUAACUCCUUGGUGGAAAAGAAAAGUUGGAAACCUAUUACUCUAUCUAGAAAUGGACCUCAAUUAUCUCAUCUCUGUUUUGCAGAUGAUCUUGUUCUUUUUGCUCAAGCAAAUAAAGAUCAAGUCCAGAUCAUCAAGGAGGCUUUGAGUAUUUUUUGUGAAGCUUCCGGUCAAAAAGUCAGUCUUAGCAAGUCUUGCGUGUUCUUCUCUAAGAAUGUCAACCACAAUAUUAGAGCAGAGCUCAGCAGAGACCUUGGCAUUCCCCUAACCAACAACCUAGGAAAGUAUCUCGGAGUACCCCUUAUUCACGAAAAAUGUGGGAAGCAACACUUUCAGCCGAUCAUUGACAAGAUGCACGCCAAGCUGUCCAGUUGGAAUAUGAAGACUCUCUCGUUAGCAGGAAGGAGCACUCUUAUUCAAUCCGUACUCUCAACGAUACCAAGCUAUACUAUGCAGACUAUGAAGAUGCCUAAGAAAGUCUGUAAUCAAAUUGACAAGAUUUGCAUAGACUUUCUUUGGGGGUCAGACGCAGGAGAUAAAAGGAUCCAUCUUAUCAAUUGGGAUUCUAUUUGCAAGCCUAAAGAGUUGGGAGGCCUAGGUCUGCGUAAGGCUCAGGAAACAAACAACCUUUAUCUCAUGAAAUUGGCAUGGGGUUUAGUCCAUAAUGACCAAGCACUUUGGGUAAAGGUUAUGAAGACUAAGUAUGGCUGUGGUGAUAGCCCUAUUCCCUAAGUGGCUAAGAGAUUAAAUUGCUCGAACGCAUGGAGAGGGAUUGCUAAAGUUUGGGACGACUUUCAACGCAAUCUUGUUUGGCGUAUUGGCGAUGGUAAGAGCAUCAAGAUCUGAAAAAGUCACUGGAUCCCUGGUAUUGAAAAUCUUAGCGAGUUAUUGCUCAAUCAAAUUAGCGAUGAUAGGGAUAACGAAACUCUAGAGGCCUAUGCUACGGAUGAUGGCUGCUGGGAUUUGGAAAAAUUAUCUCAUGCCCUCCCAAAUGAGGUUGUUGACAUGAUACGUACUCUGAAAGCUCCAAACCACUCCCUAGGUCGAGACUCUAUCAGUUGGCUACCGGAAUCACAUGGAAGUUUUUCUAUUAAUUCAGCUUAUAAGGCUUAUUAUGUGGAAGACAUAAAUCCUGAUGAGAUUUACAAAUUAUGUUGGAAAGCAAGAGUGCCUCAGAGACUAAAGACCUUUUCUUGGUUAUUAAGCUACAACACUCUAUUAACUAAUGUCAAGAGAAGGAACUGAGGACUUACUGAUAAUGGGUGCUGUCCCAGAUGCCCAGAUCAAGAUGAGAGUUUGCUCCAUGUUCUGAGGGAUUGUCCUUUUGCCCGAAGUAUUUGGUUUAGCAGCUCAAACAGAGACCCACGUGACCCUUUCUUUAGCCAGUCUCUUCAUGAAUGGCUUACGGAUAAUCUGAAUAAGGUCUCUCGCACUGACAGUGGGACUUCAUGGCCCACCUUCUUCCUCACCGCAUGU